rnacentral:rRNA from 1 species
GACGAACGCUGGCGGCGUGCUUAACACAUGCAAGUCGAGCGGUAAGGCCUCUUCGGGGGUACACGAGCGGCGAACGGGUGAGUAACACGUGGGUGACCUGCCCUCAGCUCUGGGAUAAGCCUGGGAAACUGGGUCUAAUACCGGAUAUGACCUUUCCUCGCAUGGGGUUUGGUGGAAAGUUUUUUCGGCUGGGGAUGGGCCCGCGGCCUAUCAGCUUGUUGGUGGGGUGAUGGCCUACCAAGGCGACGACGGGUAGCCGGCCUGAGAGGGCGACCGGCCACACUGGGACUGAGACACGGCCCAGACUCCUACGGGAGGCAGCAGUGGGGAAUAUUGCGCAAUGGGCGGAAGCCUGACGCAGCGACGCCGCGUGGGGGAUGACGGCCUUCGGGUUGUAAACCUCUUUCGACCCCGACGGAUUUGGACGGUAGGGGUAGAAGAAGCACCGGCCAACUACGUG